GAGAACGGAACUUCCCCAGUAGAGUGAAGUCAGUUCCCAGCGUUUCGGGGAGGAAACGCUCGCUUAUAACAAAUAAAAAAGCUCGCCGGGCCUUAUCCCCCCUGUGCGGGCUUUUUUUUGGU
rnacentral:sRNA from 1 species